rnacentral:lncRNA from 1 species
AUUAAGGCUUCGUUUGGAAUUGUUGGGGGAGAUUGUUUUACGUUAUAUUGAAAAAAUAUUAUAUUUAUUUUUUUAUAUAAUAUUGCAUUUCGUAUAUCGUGAUGAGUAGGUUACGAUAUAUUUUUUGCUACCCCACCGGAGAACGUAGAAGUAUAUCUUUUUUCCUUAACUCCAUUUUAUCUAAUAGCGUUAGAUAGGCUUCAAUACCAAACGCGUUAGAUAGGCUUCAAUACCAAAGGCUUCGUUUGGUAUUGAUACCUAUCUAACGCUAUUAGAUAAAAUGGAGUUGAGGAAAAAAUAUAUAGGAAUAUACUUUUGCGUUAUCCAGUGGGACCACAGAAAAUAUAUCGUAAUCGACUUAUCGCAAUAUGCGGAACGCAAUAUUGCGAUAAGUCCAAUGUACUUUCGCACAUAUUGCGAUAAUCCAACGUAACGCAAUCUCCCCGCAAUCCCAAAUGAAACCUAAUUCCACACCAAAUUAUAUAAAUAGACGAGCCCCAAAAACAACCAAAAUAAAAUUUAAGAAAAAGAAAAAAAAUCAGAAGCAGCAGCUUAUGGCCGGCCCGUUUGGCGUGCAUCUUGAAAAAGUAAUUUAUGCCUAAUCGAUUUUAGUUUGGAUAAAUGAUUUUGAUUAAAAAUUAUAAAAUGUUUGAUUGAGUUUAAAUAAAAGUGAUUUUUCUGAAAUGAUUUUGUAAAACUGUGUAGCAAAACUUUUUUGAUGCUGGCAUAAAUUAAUAUUUUUAUUAAAAUUUAUUUUAAAAUAAAUUUAAAUUUGAAUUAAAAUUAAAAUUUUUAAAUUGCAAAAUUGUGCAAAAUUUAAAAUUUGAUAUUUUAAUUUUAAAUGUAAAUUUAAAAUUUAUAAUUUGAAUUUUUAAAUCCAAAUUUAAAUUUUAAAUUUCAUAGUUUAAAAUUUUAAAAUUUUGAAUUUUAAAAUUUGAAAGUGAAUUUAAAGUUUAAAAUUUGAAUAUAUAAAUUUGAAUAUUUAAAAUUUAAAAUUUUAAUUUUAAAAUUUUAAAAUUUAAAACUUGAAGAUUAAAACUUGUAAUUUUAAAAUUUUAAAUUUAAAAAUCUAAAAUGUCAAAUUUUAAAUUUUAUCUUAAAUUUUAAAAUAAAAAUUCAAAAUUCAAAUUUUAGAUAAAAUUUAAAAUUUAAACUUUAAAAUCUAAAUUUUAAAUUUUAGAUUUCAAAGUUGAAAUUAAAAAAUUCAAAUAAGAAUUUUAAAUUUAAAAAUUAAAAUUAAAUUUAAAUUUAAACUUUGAAUCUAAAAUAAAAAUAAAAAUUUAAAAUUUGAAUCCAAAAUAAGAAUCAGAUUUCAAGAAGCAGCUUUUUGUCUGCUUCUGAUCUGGAGUCUUCAAAAUCAGCUUUCUGAUUCUGAAAAAUAAAGUCAAAAUUUNAAUUUAAACUUUGAAUCUAAAAUAAAAAUAAAAAUUUAAAAUUUGAAUCCAAAAUAAGAAUCAGAUUUCAAGAAGCAACUUUUUGUCUGCUUCUGAUCUGGAGUCUUCAAAAUCAGCUUUCUGAUUCUGAAAAAUAAAGUCAAAAUUUUCAACACUUUUGUCAAAAAAAACUCUAUUGAACCUAAAAUCAUUUUUAGACUUGAAAUCACUUUUCAGAAGCAGAGGCCAAGACGCGCUCUCCCAAAGCAAAAGUUGAGGAGUAAUGCAUGUUCCGAAGCCAAAAGAACUACCUCUGCUGCUAGUCUGGCAACCGUGCCCACUUCCACUUGCCGUCCUGCUGCCUGGACUAUAGAACCGAAAAGAAGGAGAAGAAGAAGAAGAAGAAAAGCAGCUAAUUUAUAAAAAAACAUUUAUAAAUAUUUAUUUUUUAUUUUUUUAUUUUUAAAAAUAUAUAUUUUGACUAUUAAAAUUUUAGAAAUAUUUUCGGAGGGAUGCAAUGUUAAUAGAGAAGGCAAAAUAACCAAAUUAUUCUUACUUUUUUUUAAAAAAUAAUUUUUUAAUAUAUUUCUUUUUUUUUUUGAAAGGCAUUUCCGAUAUAAAUUAUCAGAAAUGAACGGAAUAGUAAUGAAACCCUGACGGAGGGAAACUAAAUGCAACAACUUGAAAUAUUGAACGGAUAAAAUAUAGAUUUUUGAAAAUUAGAAAUAAAAAAAUAAAAAAAUAGAUAUAUAUUGAGAAUAUUUUUGU